rnacentral:rRNA from 1 species
ACUACGGGUGGCAGCAGUGGGGGAUAUUGCACAAUGGGGGGAACCCUGAUGCAGCGACGCCGCGUGGGUGAAGAAGCGCCUCGGCGCGUAAAGCCCUGUCAGCAGGGAAGAAAAUGACGGUACCUGAAGAAGAAGCCCCGGCUAACUACGUGCCAGCAGCCGCGGUAAUACGUAGGGGGCAAGCGUUAUCCGGAUUUAAUGGGUGUAAAGGGGGCGCAGACGGCGAUGCAAGCCAGGAGUGAAAGCCCGGGGCCCAACCCCGGGACUGCUCUUGGAACUGCGUGGCUGGAGUGCAGGAGGGGCAGGCGGAAUUCCUGGUGUAGCGGUGAAAUGCGUAGAUAUCAGGAGGAACACCGGUGGCGAAGGCGGCCUGCUGGACUGCAACUGACGUUGAGGCCCGAAGGCGUGGGGAGCAAACAGGAUUAGAUACCCCAGUAGUC